CGCCGGGCGCCGCGGAGUGGAAGCUGACUCAACCCGCCAGGGUCGGAAGACAGCAACGGUCGUCUGCCUUUCAUGGCCGCGGUGGCUCGGCGUCC
rnacentral:SRP_RNA from 1 species